GAAAUAGACAGACAAACAGACCGAUAGAGAAACAGACAGAUAGAGUAACAGAAAGACAGACAGACAGACGGAGAGAGAGACAGACAGACAGACAGAUAAGUAGAUAAAUGCAUUGAAAGAAUACUCGUGUCCUGCGUGAACGUCCCCUGACGCGUCCAACAGCUGUUAAACGCCGCACAGUCUCACUCCGGUGAGGGGGUCAAGGGGUCAAUGACGAGCCAUUUGUCCGUCACCGGCUUUAGCUGAACUCCACCCAGUGGCUCACGGAUCUUCACACGCACCUCCAGUUUCCCUCCCGUCGCCUUCCGGCCGUCCAGCACCUGCAAACACUCAUGAGACUCCAGCAUCUGUGUUGAUGAGUGUGACGGUGUGUCGUACCACACUGGGGAAAGGAAACUCAAAGCGCACACUCGCAUCGAGAUCACUGGCUGAAAGUCCUGGAGAAAACAAGAUUGAUGAACACAGCUGCACACACAAAUCAUACACACACGAAAAC